rnacentral:rRNA from 1 species
CUACUCUUGACAUCCAGAGAACUUUCCAGAGAUGGAUUGGUGCCUUCGGGAGCUCUCAGACAGGUGCUGCAUGGCUGUCGUCAGCUCGUGUUGUGAAAUGUUGGGUUAAGUCCCGUAACGAGCGCAACCCUUGUCCCUAUUUGCCAGCGAUUCGGUCGGGAACUCUAGGGAGACUGCCGGUGACAAACCGGAGGAAGGUGGGGACGACGUCAAGUCAUCAUGGCCCUUACGGGUAGGGCUACACACGUGCUACAAUGGCCGGUACAAUGGGUUGCGAAUCCGCGAGGUGGAGCUAAUCCCAUAAAGCCGGUCUCAGUCCGGAUCGGAGUCUGCAACUCGACUCCGUGAAGUCGGAAUCGCUAGUAAUCGUGAAUCAGAAUGUCACGGUGAAUACGUUCCCGGGUCUUGUA